GCUGGAGACUAUGCGCAGGCGCGGUGCACUGCGCGCCGGCACGAGGGUGUUUUCGACGUUGGCUGUGGGGAAACAGCAAGCGGCGUGGACGACCGUUGCUGAGCUGGUGUGGAACGUCUGUGAUCAGCUUCUUGAACCUGAUGCCUUCUCUAGUGAGGUUAAUGGGGCUUCUGCACAACAUAUGAACAGCCAAAUGAUUACCCUCUCCAGAUGCUGGUGCCAUGCUCUUGGACUUCCCAGCCUCCUAGAACUGUGAGAAAAAAAAUUUAAAGAAUUAACAGGAGGUGGCCAAGAUGGUCAACUAGAAGUAGCUAGUGUUUGUGGCUCUCACAGAAACAAAUGGAAGGAGAGAGUAAAUAACAGCACCUUCAACUGAAACAUGCCGGUAGUCACUUUGGGAAUAAUCAAGGAAACAACCCACAAAGAACAGAGAAAAGCAAGGCAGGAAAAUGGCCCAUCUGGAAGCAGCACAGAGCCAAGGGAGCCUCCCCUGCCCAGGGAAGUGGUGAAUGAGUGUGUCACCCCGGGAACCCACACUUCUCUCACAGAUCUUUGCAACCCUUGGGUUGGGAGAUCCUGUCGUGAACCCAUUUCACCAGGGCUUUCAGUCUGACUGACACACAGAGCUACAGGGAGUCUCAGCAGAGGCCCCACAAAGGGACACAUGGAGACUUGGGAGCCUUAGAUACUAGAUGGCUUUCUGGGCAUCCCAGCAAAAGCAGAUGCAACUCCAGCAAACUGGGAGAUGAGACACCCCACCCCGUACAUACCCCUAGGAAAGAGGCUGAAUCCAGAGGGCUGAGCAGCAACAGUCUACAGGCCCCACUUCCAAGGCACCUCACAGGAUAAGACCCACUGGCUUGGAAUUCCAGCCAGCCACCGGUAGCCAAGUUGGAGCUCCUGGGGGAGGGGAAGGGCACCAUCUUUGCUGUUUGGGCAACUUAACCAUACCAGCCUUUGGGCUUUGGAAAGUCCAAGCCAACCAGGGGUGGAAGGGAUUCCCCAGCAUAGCACAGCUGCUCUACAAAAACAUGGCCAGACUUUUUGCAAAGAUCUGUGAGAGAAGUGUGGGUUUCCAAUCCUGUUUCUCCUUUCUGGGUGGGACCUCCCAGCUGGGGUCUCCAGCCACCCCUGCCAGUCAGAGUUUUGAAACCUCCCUGGGACUAAGCUUCCAGAAGGAAGGGCAAGCUGCCAUCUUUGCUGUUUAGGUGACUUAGCCAUUCCAGCCUUCAUGCCAACCACAGGGUAGAAGCGGUACCCAAGCAGAGCACAGCUGCUGUAUGAAAAUGUGGCCAGACUGCUUCUUUAAGUAGGUCUCUGAUUCUGUUCUUCCUCAUGGGGCAGGACCUCCCAACUGGGGCCUCCAGCCACCCCUGCUGGCGUUCUCUGGCCAUGAACACCUGCAGGGAGACAGGCACCCCCAUAUCCACUAGCACUCUGCUGCAGCUGCCACGCCACAGCACUUCCCAGCACAGUGGACCGUAAACCACGAGGAGCCACGGGACAAUGGCAGGGUUCAAUAUGAGUCCCCCAGAGUUAGAGAACGCAGUCCAGGAGUUGGAAUCUGAGCUUUGGCCCCCUAAAAUCUCUCAAAAAUGAAGCCAGUUGACAGAAUUCACCUUAUACCACAAUCAAACCCUCAAGGUCAUCAAAUAGGAUAAAACAAACAAACAAAAAAACCAAAGGUCAGCAACCUCAAAGAUUGAAGAUCAGCGCAAGAAUGAUGAAAACUCAAAAAGCCAGAGUGCCUUCUUCCCUCCAAAGGACUGCAUCACCUCCAGUAAAGGUUCAGAACUGGGCUGAAGCUGAGAAGGCUGAAAUGACAGAAGUAGAAUUCAGAGUAUGGAUAGGUACAGAGUUCAUUGAACUACAGGUAUAUGUUGUAACCCAAUACAAGGAAGCUAAAAAUCAUAAUAAAACAUUGUAGGAGCUGACAGACAAAAUAGCCAGUAUAGAGAAGAACAUAACUUAGCUGAUAGAGCUGAAAAACACAUUACAAGAAUUUCAUAAUGCAGUCACAAAUAUUAAUAGUAGAAUAGACCAAGCAGAGGAAAGAAUCUCAGAGCUUAGGGACUAGCUUUAUGAAAUAAGGCAGACAAGAAUAGAGAAAAAAGAAUAAAAAGGAAAUGACAAAACCUUCAAAAAAUAUGGGAUUAUGGAAAGAGACCAAAUCUAUAACCAAUUGGUGCACCUGAAAGAGAUAUGAAUAAAACCAACUUGGAAAACAUAUUUCAGGAUGGCAUUCAUGAGGACUUCCUUAACCUAGCUAGAGAGGCCAACAUUCAAAUUCAGGAAAUGCAGAGAAGCCCCAGUAAGAUACUUCACAAGAAGAUCAUCCCAAGGACAUAUAAUCAUCAGAUUCUCCAAGGUCAAGAUGAAAGAAAAAAUGUUAAAGGCAGAGAAGAAAGGCCAGGUCACAUAUGAAGGGAAGCCCAUCUUACUAAUGGUGGACUUCUCAACUGAAACCCUACAACCCAGAAGAUAUUGGGGGCCAAUAUUCAACAUUCUUAAAUGCCAACCCAGAAUUUCAUAUCUGGCCAAACUAAGUUUCAUAAGCAAAGGAGAAAUAAGAUCCUUUUCAGACAAGCAAAUGCUCAGGGAAUUUGUUACCACCAGACCUGCCUUACAAGAGCUCCUAAAGGAAGCACUAAAUAUUGAAAGGAAAGACUAUUUACCAGCCACUUCAAAAACAUGCUGAAGUACACAGACCAGUGACACUAUAAAGGAGCCACAUGUAAAAAGUCUGCAAAAUAUCCAGCUAACAUCAUGAUGACAAGAUGAAGUCCACACAUAUCAACACUAACCUUAAAUGUAAAUUGACUAAAUGCCCCCAAUUAAAGGACACAGAGUGGCAAGCUGGAUAAAGAGCCAAGACCCACUGGUAUGCUGACUUCAAGAUACCCAUCUCACAUGCAGUGACACACACAGGCUCAAAAUAAAGGGAUGAAGAAAAAUCUACCAGGCAAAUGCAAAACAGGAAAAAGCAGGGGUUUCAAUCCUAGUUUCUGACAAAACAGACUUUAAACCAACAAAGAUUAAAAAAAAAGAGAAGGGCAUUAUAUAAUGUUAAAGGGUUCAAUAUAACAAGGAGACCUAACUAUCUGAAAUACAUAUGCACCCAACACAGAAGCACCCAGAUUCAUAAAGCAAGUUCUUGGAGGCCUUCAAAGAGACAUAGACUCCCACACAAUAAUAGUGGGAGACUUUAACACCCUACUGACAAUAUUAGAUCGAGACAGAAAAUUAACAAAGAUAUUCAGGACCUGAACUCAGCACUAGAUCAAGUGCUCCUGAUGGAUAUCUACAGAACUCUCCGCACCAAAACAGUAGAAUAUACAUUCUUCUCAUCGAUGCAUGGCACAUACUCUAAAAUUGAUCACAUAAACGUUAGCAAAACACUCCUCAGCAAAUGCAAAGAACUGAAAUCAUAACAGUCUCUUGGACCACAGUGCAAUUAAAUGAGAAAUCAGGACUAGGAAAUUCACUCAAAACCAUACAAUUAUGUGGAAAUUGAAUAACCUGCACUUGAAUGACCUUUGGGUGAAUAAUGAAAUUGUAUUGGAAUUCCUAGCCAGGGCAGUCAGGUAAAAGAAAGAAAGAAAAGGCAGGAAGAGAGGAAGUCAAACUAUCCCUAUUUGCCGACAACUUGGUCCUGUAUCUAGAAACCCCCAUAGUCUCAGCCCAAAAGCUUCUUAAACUGAUAACUCAAGCUCAGUCUCAGGAUGCAAAACCGAUGUGUAAAAAUAACUAGCAUUUCUAUGCACCAACAGCAGGCAAGCCUAGAGCCAAAUCAGAAAUGAACUCCCAUUCACAACUGCCACAAAAAGAAUAAAAUACAUAGGAAUACAGCCAACCAGGGAGGUGAAAGAGCUCUACAAGAACUGCAAACCGCUGCUCAAAGAAAUCAGAGAUGACACAAACAUGAAAAAACAUUCCAUGUUUAUGUAUACAAAGAAUCAGUGUCAUGAAAAUGGCCAUACUGCCAAAAGCAAUUUAUACAUUCAAUGCUAUUCCUUUUAAAUUACCAUUGAAAUUCUUCACAGAACUGGACAAAAACUAUUUUAAAAUUCAUAUGGAACCAAAAAGCUCGAAUAGCCAAUGCAAUUCUAAGCAAAAAGAACAAAGCUGGAGGCAUCACACUACCUUACUUUAAAAUAUACUACAGGUCUACAGUAACCAAAACAGAAUGGUUCUGGUACAAAAACAGACAUGCAGACCAAUGGAACAGAAUAGAGAACCCAGCAAUAAGACUGCACACCUACAACUAUCUGAUCCUCAACAAACCUGACAAAAACAAGCAAUGGGAAAAGGUUCCCCUAUUCAAUAAAUGGUGCUGGGAUAACUGGCUGGCCAUAUGCAGAAGAUCAAUACUGGACCCCUUUCUUAUACCAUAUACAAAAAUUAAUAUGGAGUAAAGAUUUAAAUGUAAAACCCAAAGCUAUAAAGAUUCUGGAAGACAACCUAGGCAAUACCAUUCAGGACAUAGGCAUGACAAAGAUUUUUGACAGACACCAAAGGCAAUUGCAACAAAGGCAAAAAUGGACAAAUGGGAUCUAAUUAAACUAAAAGAGCUUCUUCACAGCAAAAGAAACUAUCAACGGAGUAAACAGACAAUCUACAGAAUGGGAGAAAAGGGAAGUGCUACACACUUUAAAACAACCAGAUCUCGUGAGAAGUCACUGUCAUGAGUACAGCAAGGGGAAGUCCACCUGCAUGAUCCAGUCACCUCUCAUCAGGCCCCUCCUCCAACAAUGAGGAUUACAACGACAUGAGAUUUGGGUUGGGACAUAGAGCUAAACCAUAUCAGACAUGAACACUUUUCAAAAAAAGAUAUACAUGCAGCCAACAAUCAUAUGAAAACAAGGUCAACAUCACUCAUCAUUAGAGAAAUGCAAAUCAAAACCAUAGUGAAAUACCAUCUCACACCAGUCAGAAUGGCUGCUACUAGAAAUAACAUGCUGGUGAGGCUGCAGAGAGAAAGGAAUGUUUAUACACUGUUAAUGGGAGUGUAAUUAGUUCAACCAUUGUGGUAGACAGUGUGAAAAUUCCUCAAAGACCUAGAGACAGAAAUACCAUUUGACUGAGCAAUCUCAUUACUGGGUAUAUAGCCAAAGGAAUAUAAAUUGUUCUACUGUAGAGAAACAUGCAUGCAUGUUUGUUGCAGCACUAUUCACAAGAGCAAACACAUGGAAUCAACUUAAAGGCCCUUUAAUUAUAGACUGAAUAAAGAAAAUGUACAUAUACACCAUGGAAUACUAUGCAGCCAUAAAAAAGAACAAGAUCAUUCUUUUUCUUGCAGGACAUGGAUGGAGCUGGAAGCCAUUAUCCUUAGCAAACUAAUGCAUGAAUAGAAAACCAAUUACUGCUUGUUCUCACUUGUAAGUGGGAGCUAAAUGAGAACACAUGGACACAUAGAGAAGAACAACACACACUAUCAGAAGGGUCCUAUCAGAAGGUGGAAGGUGGGAGGAGGAAGAGGAUCAGGAAAAAUAACUAAUGGGUAGUAGGCUUAAUAACUAGCUGAUUAAAUAAUCUGUACAACAAACCUCCAUGACACAAGUUUAUCUAUGUACAAACCUGCACACAUACCUCUGAACUUAAAAGUUUUUUUAAAAAAAUAUAAAAGGUUGGCCGGGUGCGAGUGGCUCACGCCUGUAAUCCCAGCACUUUGGGAGUCCAAGGCAGGUGGAUCACAAGGUCAGGAGUUCAAGACCAGCCUGGCCAAUAUGGUCUCUACUAAAAAUACAAAAAAAAAAAAAAAAUUAGCCCGGUGUGGUGGCAGGCGCCUGUAAUCCCAGCUUCUCAGGAGGCUGAGGCAGGAGAAUCACUUGAACCUGGGGGGUGGAGGUUGCAGUGAGCUGAGAUCGCGUCACUGUACUCCAGCCUGGGCAACAGAGUGAAACUCCUUCUCAAAAAAAUAAAUAAUAAAAUAAAAAGUUACCAAGUCUGUGGUUUUCUGUUAUAGCAGCAGAAAAUAGACUAAGACAGAAAAUUGGCACAAAGAACUGGGCAUCAUUGGUCAAGCCUGUAGUCCCAGCUACUUGGGAGGCUCAGUAGGCUUGAGGCCCUGGAGUUCGAGGCUCUAGUGUGUCAUGUUCUUGCUUAUGAAUAACCACUGCACUUCAGCCUAGGCAAUGUAGCAAGAUCUCUUCUCCAUUUAAGUAAAUAAUUUUUUUGUGACAAAAAAAUGGUACCUAGAAAUGGGGCUCUUGCUGUAACAAAUACCUGAAUAUGUGGAAGUGGCUUUGAAACUAAAGUAAUAGGCAGAGGCUGGAAGAGUUUGGAAGAGCAGCCUAGAAAAAUGACCGUAUUGCCAUGAAUGGAGCAUUAGGGGCAAUUGUAAUGAUUGUUUAAAAGAGGCAAGCUAUAGGGGAAGUCUGAAUCUUCUUUUAGAUUACUUACAUGGUUGUGACUGGCAUGUUGGUAGAAAUGUGGACUGUAGAGGCCAUUCUGAUGAGGUCUCAGACAGAAAUGAGAAGGUAUUGAAAACUGGAGUAAAGGCCAUCCUGUUACAAAGUUGCAAAGACCUUGACUAGGUUAUGUCCAUACCCUAGGGCUUUAUGAAAUGGAGAAUUUAAAAGCAAUGAAUUAGGAUAUCUGGCAGAAGAAACAUCUAAGCAGCAAAGCACUCAGCCUGCUGUGUGGCUACUUUUAACUGCAUUCAGUGAGAUGUGAGAGCAAAGCCAUGAUUAAAGACAGAAUUUACAAUUAAAAGGAAAGUAAAGCAGAAAGAUUUGGAAAACUCAGAGUCCAGCUAUUACAGAGUGAACUUCACAGACUGGAAAACUUUGGGAGAGAUUACUAAGCGUGUGGGCCAAGUGCUGUUUGCUAAAGAGAUGACUGCUAUAAGGGAGCCAGAUAUUCAUCAAGAUCAUGGGGGAAAAGACUCAAAGGUAUUUCAGAGAUCUUUGAGGCUUCCCCUUCUACCACAGUCCCAGAGCUCUAGGAGGGAAGGAUGUUUCUGGAGGCAGACCUGGGACAUCUUCCACAGGCUCACUCUUCAGAGCUGCCUUGGGCCCCUGCUCCCCACAUUUCAUUGCAGCACCUCUUGGCCACCCCAGCUGUGGCUCAAGCAGGCCCAGGUGUGGCUCAUGAUACCAUUCUGGAGGUUACAAACUGUAAACUUUGGUGGCAUCUACAUGGUACUAAUUCUGCAGGUACACAGAAUGUAAGAACUGUGGAGACAUGUCUUCCUUCACCAAGACCUCAAAGGAAGGCAUGGACAGCCUGGGUGCCCAGGCAGAGAUGUAUCACCAGGGUGGAGCCACUCAGAGGCUCACCAGGGCAGUGCCUAGUGGAGCUGUGGAAGUGGGGCCACCCCUAAGAUCCUGGAACUUUAGGGACACCAGUCUGCAACUCCAGCCCAAGAGAACUGAAGCAUGGACUGAGCCCUGCAAAGCCAUAGGAACAGACCUGCCCAAGGUUUUGGGGGCCCAACCCCUCACCCCCAACAAGUUAUAAGCUGUGUCCAGCAUACAGGACAUGGAGUCAAAGGAGAUUAUUCUCUGGUUUUAAGAUUUAAUGCUGUUUUUACUGUUGAGUUUUGAACUUAGGACCAGUUACCCCUUUCUUUUUGCUUAUAUCUCUAUUUUGGAAUGGGAAUGUCUAUCCUGUGUCUGUCCCACUAUUGUGUUUUGGAAGUAGAUAACUUGUUUUGAUUUCACAAACUUAGAGCUGGAGGGAGUUUGCCCCAGGUGAAUCAGGCCUUGAGUCUCAACCAUAUCUGAUUUAGAUGAGACUUCAGACUUUUGAGUUGAUGCUGGAACAAGUUAAGACUCUGAGGCUAUUGGGAUGUAAUCACUGUAUUUUACAUUGUGAAGACAUAAAUUUUGGGGGUUGGGGAAAAAUGCUACAGUUUGUAUGUAUGCCCCAGAAGUUCAUAUGUUGAAAACAAUUAAUCUUCGAUGUAACAGUAUUAGGAAUGGGGCUUUUAAGAGGUGAUUAAGACAUGAGGGCUCUUCCCUUAUGAAUGGAUGAAUGCUUUUAUCAUGGAAGUGGGUUAGUUACAGUGAGAGUGUGCAAAAUACAUUGAAAUACAUUGAGCAUUUCACAGGAGAGUAAAUAUACACAGCCAAAAAACUGAAGGAACAAGUGAAGAGGUGUUCAACAUUGUUAGUGAUUAGGGAAAUGCAAAGCAAGACCACAAUGAUACUUUAUGUCCAUUAGAUUGGUAAAAAUAAAAAUCAAAUGUUAAAGAAGAUGUAGGUCUACUGGAUUUUUAAAAUGUUAAUAGGAAUGUAGAUUGAUGGAAUCAUUUUGAAAAAUAGUUUGAUAUUAUCUCCAAAACUUCAAGUCUAGCAGUUUUACACCUAAACAUAUACACAAUAGUAAUUGAUGCAUACAUACAACUGGGGACAUACACAAGAAUGUUUAUUGUAGCACCAUUCACAAUAGCAAAAUCUUGAAACAACCAUAAUGCCCACCAACAAGAUGAAUAAAUUAUGAUAUAUUUACAUAAUGAAAUAUUCAGCAGUCAAAAUUAAUGAACUACAUCAAUAUACAGUACUAUGGGUGACUCCCAUUAAUAAAAGUGAAAAAAGUUACAUCCUAAAAGGUUACAAAUAGCAUACCAUUUUUGUAAUUUGUUUUAAACAUAAAAUUUUUCAGGACUAUAAGUACAAAAAGAGGAUGAACAUGGGAUUUCAAAUGAUGGUUAUUUGGGGUGGAUGAAAAUGCAUAAAUUUCAUUGCAGAAAUAUUAAUUUAUUUGAUUACUAAUAUAUGUAUUAUGUAUUAAUGUAUUUUUAUUAGACACCCACUGAGCAUGUAAUGUAUUAUAUGUAUUGCCUACUAAACUCCAAAAUAUUACUAAUUUCAAACUACAUCUGGAUACAGUGGUUUCAGUUAAGAGCUUGUGAAUCUGUAGAGGCCUGGAAUGAAAGGCAGAAAUGGAGAUAUAUUUUGAAGAUAAAAUGGAGGAGACUUGCAGAUAAACUUGAUUUGGGGGUGAAGAAGAGGGAAGGAUCGAGGAUGACUGCUAGGUUAGCUGGGCUAAAGGUAGUGUCCUUUCUUGAAAUGGGGAAUGGGAAUGUGGACUACAUAGGUUUGGGAGGGUAAUCACAUUGAUCUGGUAUUAAUAAAUGCUUAAAUCCGUAA